rnacentral:rRNA from 1 species
UGCCGCGGUUAUAGCGGUGAGGAACCACCUCUUCCCAUUCCGAACAGAGAAGUUAAGCUCACCAUCGCCGAUGGUACUGCCCCACCAGGUGGGAGAGUAGGUAGCUGCGGUUU